rnacentral:rRNA from 1 species
GACGAACGCUGGCGGCGUGCCUAACACAUGCAAGUCGAGCGGGAACCUCAGGAGGGGUAACCCUUCUGAGGGGAGAGCGGCGAACGGGUGAGUAACACGUGGGCAACCUGCCCCGGACACCGGGAUAACCCAGGGAAACCUGAGCUAAUACCGGAUACUCCGGCGCGAUCGCAUGGUCGUGCCGGGAAAGCUCCGACGGUCCGGGAUGGGCCCGCGGCCUAUCAGCUUGUUGGUGGGGUAACGCCCACCAAGGCGACGACGGGUAGCUGGUCUGAGAGGACGGCCAGCCACACUGGGACUGAGACACGGCCCAGACUCCUACGGGAGGCAGCAGUGGGGGAUCUUGCGCUAAUGCGCGAAAGCGUGACGCAGCGACGCCGCGUGGGGAUGAAGGCCUCGG